GGACCCGCACAAGUAGUGGAGCAUGUGGUUUAAUUCGAAGAUACGCGCAGAACCUUACCAACACUUGACAUGUUUGUCGCGACUUUAAGAGAUUAAAGUCUUCGGUUCGGCCGGACAAAACACAGGUGCUGCAUGGCUGUCGUCAGCUCGUGUCGUGAGAUGUUGGGUUAAGUCCCGCAACGAGCGCAACCCUCACUUUUAGUUGCCACCAUUUAGUUGGGCACUCUGAAAGAACUGCCAGUGAUAAGCUGGAGGAAGGUGGGGAUGACGUCAAGUCCUCAUGGCCCUUACGUGUUGGGCUACACACGUGCUACAAUGGCAUUUACAAUAGGAAGCAAAAUGGCGACAUUGAGCAAAUCCUAAAAAAUGCCUCAGUUCGGAUUGUACUCUGCAACUCGAGUACAUGAAGCUGGAAUU
rnacentral:rRNA from 1 species